rnacentral:rRNA from 1 species
AGUGAACGCUGGCGGUAGGCCUAACACAUGCAAGUCGAACGGCAGCACAGGAGAGCUUGCUCUCUGGGUGGCGAGUGGCGGACGGGUGAGGAAUACAUCGGAAUCUACUCUGUCGUGGGGGAUAACGUAGGGAAACUUACGCUAAUACCGCAUACGACCUACGGGUGAAAGCAGGGGACCUUCGGGCCUUGCGCGAUUGAAUGAGCCGAUGUCGGAUUAGCUAGUUGGCGGGGUAAAGGCCCACCAAGGCGACGAUCCGAAGCUGGUCUGAGAGGAUGAUCACCCACACUGGAACUGAGACACGGACCAGACUCCUACGGGAGGCAGCAGGGGGGAAUAUUGGACAAUGGGCGCAAGCCUGAUCCAGCCAUACCGCGUGGGUGAAGAAGGCCUUCGGGUUGUAAAGCCCUUUUGUUGGGAAAGAAAUCCAGCUGGCUAAUACCCGGUUGGGAUGACGGUACCCAAAGAAUAAGCACCGGCUAACUUCGUGCCAGCCGCCGCCGUAA